GUGAAAAUGAGCCUAGAACUAGUUGUGAUCGCGUGAACUUAUACCAAAUACAUAUGAACGUGUGAACUUGUAGAAGAGCAUCGCGAACUUGAAUAAAACAACAAACAGGUACAUCAAACGUCCAUCAAGACCUCCAGGUAGAAACAGUGUCAUUCCGUUGUGUACGUUCCACAAGCCUUCCAUCUCCUCCUCCUCCUCCUCCUCCUCACGGUUCUCCAUCGCUGCGUCCGUUUUUUGUGCGUGUUUUUGUGCGUGUGUUAGUGGAAGACAGAAAACUCAAACGUACUUCACCCUCGCCCCCACGUCCUCACAUUUGCGCGUGUCUCCGUCUGUUCCUGCCACGCCCUGCCCCUCCUCCUCCUCUUGUCUUCCUCCUCGUCCCCGCCGCCCCCUUCCAGCGUCGCAGCGAUAAGGUUGGUGGCUGGGAGGGUGGUUGAGUGUCUGUUCAUCUGUCUGUCUGUCUGUUUGGUUGUUCUGGUGGGAGGAAGAGGCAGCAACAACGACAGCAACAACAACAACAACAACAACAACAACAACAACAACAAUGGCUGUAUGUAUGUCUGUUUGAGUGGAUGGUUGACUGGAUGGCUGGCUGACUGGUUGGCUGGGUUACUGGUUGGCUGCGUGGCUGGUUGGCUGGGAGACUGAUUGGGUGUCUGGCUGGUUGACUGGCAGGCUGGUUGGUUGGGUGACUGGAUGGCUGUGUGGCUGGUUGACUGGCUCGCUGGUUGGUUGGGUGACUGGAUGGCUGUGUGUCUGGUUGAUUGGGUGAUUGGAUGGCUGUGUGGCUGGUUGGUUGGGUAACUGGUUGACUGGCUCCCUGGUUGGCUGUCUGGCUGGUUGGUUGGCUGGCUGGUUGGUUGGGUGACUGGUUGGCUGUCUGGCUGGUUGGUUGGGUGACUGGUUGACUGUCUGGCUGUCUGGCUGGGAGAC